rnacentral:rRNA from 1 species
GGAANCUGCGGAAGGAUCAUUAUCGAGAG